GACGAACGCUGGCGGCGUGCCUAAUACAUGCAAGUAGAACGCUGAAGGAGGAGCUUGCUCUUCUGGAUGAGUUGCGAACGGGUGAGUAACGCGUAGGUAACCUGCCUGGUAGCGGGGGAUAACUAUUGGAAACGAUAGCUAAUACCGCAUAACAGUAGAUGUUGCAUGACAUUUACUUAAAAGGUGCAAUUGCAUCACUACCAGAUGGACCUGCGUUGUAUUAGCUAGUUGGUGGGGUAACGGCUCACCAAGGCGACGAUACAUAGCCGACCUGAGAGGGUGAUCGGCCACACUGGGACUGAGACACGGCCCAGACGCCUACGGGAGGCAGCAGUAGGGAAUCUUCGGCAAUGGACGGAAGUCUGACCGAGCAACGCCGCGUGAGUGAAGAAGGUUGUCGGAUCGUAAAGCUCGGUUGUAAGAGAAGAACGAGUGUGAGAGUGGAAAGUUCACACUGUGACGGUAUCUGACCAGAAAGGGACGGCUAACUACGUG
rnacentral:rRNA from 1 species